GUGCUUGCUUGGCAGUACAUAAAACUAAAUUGAAAUGAUACAGAGAUUAGCAUGGCCCCAGUGCAAGGAUGACACACAAAUACAUGAAAGUUUCCAUUAAAAA